AUGUCUAGGGGCUCUGAGAGGAAUAUCCCCCACACUGGUACUGAGACACGGACCAGACUCCUACGGGAGGCAGCAGUAAGGAAUAUUGGUCAAUGGGCGAAAGCCUGAACCAGCCAUGCCGCGUGCAGGAUGAAGGCCCUAUGGGUUGUAAACUGCUUUUAUGUAGGAAGAAACUCCUGUACGUGUACAGGACUGACGGUACUACACGAAUAAGGACCGGCUAACUCCGUGCCAGCAGCCGCGGUAAUACGGAGGGUCCAAGCGUUAUCCGGAUUCAUUGGGUUUAAAGGGUGCGCAGGCGGACCGAUAAGUCAGUGGUGAAAUCCUACAGCUCAACUGUAGAACUGACACUGAUACUGUCGAUCUUGAGUAUAGUUGAAGUGGGCGGAAUGUAUCAUGAAGCGGUGAAAUGCAUAGAUAUGAUACAGAACUCCGAUAGCGAAGGCAGCUCACUAACCUAUAACUGACGCUCAGGCACGAAAGCGUGGGGAGCAAACAGGAUUAGAUACCCUGGUAGUCCACGCCGUAAACGAUGAUCACUCGUUGUUGGCGAUACACAGUCAGCGACUGAACGAAAGCACUAAGUGAUCCACCUGGGAAGUACGAUCGCAAGGUUGAAACUCAAAGGAAUUGACGGGGGCCCGCACAAGCGGAGGAGCAUGUGGUUUAAUUCGAUGAUACGCGAGGAACCUUACCUGGGCUUAAAUGUAUAAUGACCGACUGGGAAACCAGUCUUCUCUUCGGAGCAUUUUACAAGGUGCUGCAUGGUUGUCGUCAGCUCGUGCCGUGAGGUGUCGGGUUAAGUCCCAUAACGAGCGCAACCCCUAUUCUUAGUUGCCAUCAGAUAAUGCUGGGGACUCUAAGGAAACUGCCUACGCAAGUAGUGAGGAAGGUGGGGAUGACGUCAAAUCAGCACGGCCCUUAUGUCCAGGGCUACACACGUGCUACAAUGGUCGGUACAGAGGGUCGCUACCUGGUGACAGGAUGCUAAUCUCGAAAACCGAUCUCAGUUCGGAUCGAAGUCUGCAACUCGACUUCGUGAAGCUGGAUUCGCUAGUAAUCGCAUAUCAGCAAUGGUGCGGUGAAUACGUUCCCGGGCCUUGUACACACCGCCCGUCAAGCCAUGGAAGCUGGGGGUACCUGAAGUCUGUGACCGCAAGGAGCGGCCUAGGGUAAAACUAGUAACUGGGGCUAAGUCGUAACAAGGUA
rnacentral:rRNA from 1 species